UUUGUACAGGACAAAGGCCACAACUACUCGCUAUGAGUACGACCAAAUUUCGCGUCACAUCGAUUUCACCUUUAAAAGUAGUUGGGCUGCCUAAGCAAUAUUCUGCAAAUCUUAGCCAUAUAUCAUCAAUGUUUUACAUUAUGUUUAACCACAGAAUUAAGUAACAGACAAUGUACUUUACAACUGGUGCUUUCCACGACUCAUGCAUAAUGUCAGAUCGGUAUUCUCUAAGGUCUCUAACAGGCUGUACCACGGUUAAGGGCCGUUUUUUAUGUUCUUUUGCCUUUUUCAUCUUGCCAUUGUUUACUUCGACAUAGUAUUCAAGAGUAUUCCCUCUUCUUUAUAGAGCUGUUGCAAUUUAAUUGUGCAUUGAAUGGAAAUCGAUGUUGAAUUCAGGCUCCGAGUAAUAGAUGAAAAAUAGUGCAGUUUUGAUACUUCGUUUACUUUGCCUUUUGCCGACAUUAAAAGCGGACGAGGCGGCGUGGGAUGUCUGUGCUAUGCGCAGUAGGUCCCCAUAAUUGAGAGAGAACUGUUUAAAAUCCGCUACUAAGCUUAACAAAAAGCCGAAAACUGCCGUCUUGGAUCCCGAAAGUCUACCCCAACCACCCGAAGUUCAUGAGAACGUUAGAUGAUAAACAGCCGAUGACUAGCCGAGAAGCUAACUGUGCAUACAAGUGCACUCUAUGAGGCAGCUUCGCGGUUCGAGACUUCGUCACCGGAGCCAAUCGGCGAUUUUGAGUACCCAACAUCACCGCUCAUGGUCCGCAAGAGUGUAGACCUCUCUUCAACUUUGGAAAUUAGCAUUGAAGAUGACAGCGAUGGACAACAGGAUAAACAAGCAUUUUUGGGUAAGUGCAAGGACGAGUCCAUAGAAUUAGAGGAUCCACUGAAGCAGUCGCCGCAUAGGAAAUUCCCUUUAAGGUCCCUCCGCGUCAAAGCUAAAACAGACGCCAAUUCACAGAAUGAGAGCGGGUUCGGCUGGCUGGAGUCGCCUGACGGCGUUUCAGAGGAUGAAAAUCCGCAACGAGGGUUUCAAGUGGAGGAUAACGUUGGCGAUGCUCUAUUAGCAUUACCCGAAUGUCCAGUAAAUAUAGCAAAAAUGCUUCCGUUAGCUAAAGGACAUUGUAAAGAUGAAGACAUCACUAAGUCUCAGCGUUCUUCAUUUUUCGAAAGGAAACGACUUGAACUAAUCGCUUCCCCUAUGGAAAACGUGUGUGUAACGUCGAACGGACAUAGAGAAACUGAGCACGAAAUGGGCAAUCAGGAAACUGCUGUCUCUGUACAAACGCUGCCAAGCGUGACAGACGAGUAUGACGAUGACAGUCCAGCCACACCUGGCUGUGAAGGCCUUUCAUUGCUAUGCCCUUCUGAUGUUGGGAUUCAGAACAAUGUCAUCAAUUCUAGCGAUGAAUCAUGUCUGGCAGUGACGAAGGACGGCACGAAGCUACAAGGCUCCCAAGUCGAGCGGGAAAAACAUCCUGGAAUUAAUAAUCAGCGAAUAGACAUCCGACCUGCCUAUUGUCAGCCUGAUUCCAUUGUUGUGGAUACAAUGCAGGUUCUAUAUGAUUUAGUGCAGGAGGUCACCCUAUGUAUUUCUAGCACCGAAAUUGAGAAGGGCAGCGCAUCUGAGCAUGCCAAGAAGACAUGUCUUAUUAUUGUUAAUUCCCCAAAGACUCCUGUAAUUGAAAGUACUAAUAGAUACGAUCUUGCAUUAGAGGAUGAUGUUAACUUCGAUUGUCGAAGCAAGGCGCUUCAUUUGGAAUCCUCCCGCUUGGACGAUUCCACAUCUGAUGCUGGAGACGUGAAUAGAUCGAACAGUCACUUAUUUCUGGAUCGUAAAAAUUUGGCUGUAGAUGAGGGUUCGGGCGACCUAUCGCUCGAGCGGACCAUCUCUAUAUCGUCUGGAUCAGACACAUCGUCAUCAUUCUUUGACGAAGAUGAGCACGAAGUAGAUCCUGACGGGCCGCUUUGGCGUCAGAACUUUCUUGGGCAGUGUGUGCUUCUAGUAGAAAAGAGGUUCCAAAAAGCCUAUGCCAAUACAUGUAUUAAACCACUUUGUGCACAGUUCAAUAAUGUCUAUGAAGUCACUAAUGACGCUGAUCGACUGCCUACAUCGGAAUUGGAUAUUCACCAGAAUAUUAUGGUCAUGAGCGACAGCCAAGUUACACACCGUCACCCAUUUACCCAGCAGGAGACUAAGCAAUUGGUCUGCAAUUUCAUCAAUAUGGCGACGGCGUUCCGUAUGAGAUUUCCGUAUCUUCUUGCCGGGAUCCAGACGGGACUGGAGACAAAAAAAGAUAUCUUUGUUUUUUCUGAAUUUAAAGAUGAACAUCGAGUCUUUGCCAAACUUUGUUUUGGACUUGCCAAAAGGCGUGUUCUGGAAUGUAUUACUCAGCUUCGACUUGUGCUGGAGUCUGAUCUAGUUACCGAUGACGCUAGAGAGCUCGAACUAUUAGUUAAUAGACUGUUCACCGGGUUUGGACCAGAAUGGCCGACAAUCGCUCGUAUAACAGGAAUUAGUCAGACGGCAAUAAAGGACAUUUUGAUUCAAACGAACAAUAUGAACAUUCGCGAACCGACUCCAUGGUUUGUCGUGCACGAAUGUUUGUUGAAGGAAAAGAGAUUCGUUCCUCGUCCCAGUCGUCAUAGUCCAUUGCCAGAGAUCCCUCGGCAACCACAGUCAUUCAGUCUGCACACAACGAUGUCCUGUCUCAGUAAAAGUACUCUGCGCAACUCUAAUAAGACACGGAGCAAUGUAAACAAUCGUAGCGUUCCAAUACAACAGCUAUGCGGUAUGUCUAAGUUACGAGACGUUUGUAUUGCCAAGCAUAAACGGACCACUAAUUGCUUACACCAGGGUAUGAAAACGAACGAGAAACAACCGUCUCGAGCUCCGUUACUUCAAGCUAUGGACAGAAACAGAAAAAAAGCAGAACAGGACGUGCUAACAGGACCAUCUGAUCAGAACUUGAACGCCAAUCAAAAUACUGCAACGGGCAUUUUAGUGAACGCUACACCGCGUCCUAAGGACCAUCUAAACUGCGAAAUGGACACACAGAAACAAACAAUCUUAACGGGUGCUUGCAAAUCAGAACCUACAUCAAUCUCUGAUCAAGUCAUCGUGCGGGAGCUAGUUCUGCCGGUUACGGAGAUAAAACCUGUCCCACUUCAGACCGAUUCCACUUUGGCUCAGCGGUCUGUUUCUCGACUGAAACAUUUAUUAGAAAAUAAUAAAAUUUCUACCACGGUGCCCUCAUCUUCAAGACCUCCUGUGGCAAAACAGUUGGGUACACCUAUGGGUUUUACGAAAGAAUCUCAUCAUCUGUCCGUAGCAGUUAUGUCGCACGCUGUAUCUUCUCCCGUUCAACAAGAGUUAUCGGUGCCAGUGGUUCUAUUGAAGUCACCCAAGCGGUUGGGAAAAAGAUCUCAUCAAAUUGCGGAAUUAGACGGUACACCUGCUCGAGAGGAACCUACGCGCAAAGUUCGCAGGAUAUCCUUAUGGAGAGACGAGACGGCUGGCUUCUCCAAUGACAACGAGAACGUUAGUUUGUCGAGGCCAAAUCAAUUUGUCGCUUGAAACUUACAGUCGGCUCAAUGUUGGCCCCAAAGCGGUCAGCGAUGAAAAUCAAGGACAUCCAACAAAAGCCAGUCUCCUCUCGGCGACUUUAUUACGGUAGUAAUUCCCGGGUGAGGCAAAUCGCUUUAUGGCCAUAGAUGCACGUGGAAGAGCAUGUUAAGAGGAAACUACCAUUAGAACUGAAGAACGCGUAGCGGGCAAGUCUUAACCUUUUGAUUUGGAGGGGUUUUACUCCAGAAAGAAGUGAAUACACGUGAAACAAGUAACAUGGUUUGAGCUGCUGACGAAUUCGAUACGAGCUUAUCUAGGCCGCUUCUUUCUGUACCUACCGACAAGAGCCGCACCGUAGGUCAGGGAGGUGAACACCUGGAAAAUUCGCUUCGUCGUUAAAUCGCCGAGGA